CUGGAGUUUUAUCCUGGGUGACAGCAUGAAAGCAUUAUUUAAUCAAGAUUUGGCAUCCUUUCACCUGGCUGUAAGCAGGAAGUCCUUGAUUUCUUCAGUUUUACUAUGCAUGGUGAUGAGGCGCGCUGGGAGGUGGGCGCAGACCCGCACAGUCAAUGGUGACAAGAAAGGACAGACUAGUUUUUCUUUAUGUUUGGCUAAAGACCCCCUACCUUAAAUGCAUUCCCCGCGUGUUACGGAGUCUGUACAAACAAAGCAAUGAUCACAUAAUGUACCAAUGCUCUCGUCUCAUUCCGCUUAUCCCGUGUUUGUAUUGUUCUGGUUCCAGCAUGCUGAGACUUUAAGCCCUCGGCUCUAACUGAAGCAGGAAGAGUUUAUUUUGGGAUGAACAAUCUUCCCCCAUAGGGAGGGCCCAGCCUCUCAACCAGUGUCUCUCUCUCUCUCUUUAGAAAUU
rnacentral:lncRNA from 1 species